AUAGAGGAGACGCGCGCCGACGUAUGUAUCGACUCAUAUAGGGCGAUUGAUAAGCGGCGCGAAUCGCCUGAUCCAGGACUUUGAUCAUGGCUCAGGACGAACGCUGGGGGCGACGCUAACAACGUGCCCGUCGAACGAGAAGAUGAGAGCUUGCUCUUCAAAUCGAGGUGGCGAACGGGUGAGUAACGCGUGAGGAACCUGCCUCAAAGAGGGGGACAACAGUUGGAAACGACUGCUAAUACCGCAUAAGCCCACGGCUCGGCAUCGAGCAGAGGGAAAAGGAGUGAUCCGCUUUGAGAUGGCCUCGCGUCCGAUUAGCUGGUUGGUGAGGUAACGGCCCACCAAGGCGACGAUCGGUAGCCGGACUGAGAGGUUGAACGGCCACAUUGGGACUGAGACACGGCCCAGACUCCUACGGGAGGCAGCAGUGGGGAAUAUUGCACAAUGGGGGAAACCCUGAUGCAGCGACGCCGCGUGGAGGAAGAAGGUCUUCGGAUUGUAAACUCCUGUUGUUGAGGAAGAUAAUGACGGUACUCAACAAGGAAGUGACGGCUAACUACGUGCCAGCAGCCGCGGUAUAACGUAGGUCACAAGCGUUGUCCGGAAUUACUGGGUGUAAAGGGAGCGCAGGCGGGAGGACAAGUUGGAAGUGAAAUCCAUGGGCUCAACCCAUGAACUGCUUUCAAAACUGUUUUUCUUGAGUAGUGCAGAGGUAGGCGGAAUUCCCGGUGUAGCGGUGGAAUGCGUAGAUAUCGGGAGGAACACCAGUGGCGAAGGCGGCCUACUGGGCACCAACUGACGCUGAGGCUCGAAAGUGUGGGUAGCAAACAGGAUUAGAUACCCUGGUAGUCCACACCGUAAACGAUGAUUACUAGGUGUUGGAGGAUUGACCCCUUCAGUGCCGCAGUUAACAACAAUAAGUAAUCCACCUGGGGAGCCAGUACGACUCAAGGUUCCAACACUCAAAUGAAUUGACGCCCAGUCGAUAACUGUUUAACCUGCCUGUACAA
rnacentral:rRNA from 1 species